rnacentral:lncRNA from 1 species
GUAUGAUUGCUGAAAUUUUUUUCUUACAUGCAUAGGUUCAAUAUUAUUGUUCAUAUGUUUGACAUAUGAAAGAUAAUUAGAUCUGAUUUUAAUUGAUUACAUAUGUGAUAUGUUAGAUUAAUCUCUUAGUAGCUUAGUAAUUGAAUUGGGAUAAUCACCAUGGCCAUCUGAUCAUAGAAAGAUGAAGAGAUUAAAGUCUCUCUCU